UGAGGGAUCGCAUGUUUGGGAAGAAUUCGUUUCUUGCAACCGCUGCAAAUCAGUUUGUUUUGAAACGUCGGGGAGCGAGGACGAGUCUGCUCGGUCUUCGAAGAAAUUCGUUCGACGCGUUCAAGAUUGAAGUCAUUUAAGUGGUCCUGAUCACCGGCAGGCUGGACACAACGACUGAGGGACGGAGACAACGAACUUUGUGCUUCAUGCACGAACGUUGAUGCGUGAAUUAGAGGAGCCGAGAGUGCAUUUUACACCUGGAUUACACAAGCAAGUUACGUCAAGCGAUGUCGUAAAUGGGUGAGUCAAUCGUCUACUGUGGUUGGUGUUACGUUCUGCGGAAGAAACGGAAGUUGGGGAAGAACAGCUAUCCAAAGGUGUGGAAGAGAUAAAGAAGCGUGACCACAGAGCAGCUGCAGUGGUGAAGGAGAGACGCAGUGGUCAUCGUUCAUCCAUAUACGUUGUGCCCCGUGUGUUCGGCGUUUGUGCAUCA